AUGGUGUGUCAGUGCGCCACUUUACAGAAGAGAGAGGAAGAGAAUCUUCCUGGGAUGAGGAAGGGGCGACUAAGCCCAAAAUUACAAAACCGUAGUAUGCUACUGGGACUGUAGAAGUGGCUCCGCAGGAGCUGACGGAUCAUAAAACACUGACCUCUGUUGGUGGAGCACACGGAGCUUAUUAUACACUGGCCGACGCGGGACCUGGCGCGGCUCCGGUGUGUCCCGGCAGCGCUCGCCCACCUGCGGCGGUCCCGGAGGCCCAGGU